rnacentral:pre_miRNA from 1 species
GCAUGAAGGGGUAGGGAAUGGAGUUGAGCCAAGAAUGACUUGCUGCAAGUGAAAUACGUAUUCGUCGACCGAUCUGAGAUCUCGAUCUCGAUCUCGGUCAUGAAACUAUGCAGCAAGUUGUUCUUGUCUCUAUUUGGUUCUCUAUCUUCUCAUGU